rnacentral:misc_RNA from 1 species
GGAUAGGGAUGAUUUGAGGGAGGAGUUGCGAGCCAUUUUUGGGAAUCUUUGCCUGAUAAAAGCAAAGGAAGUGGUCCUGGAGUAAAUGAAGAAGUAGGAACCUCUAUUGCAGUUGUCACGGAGUAAGUUGUUUAUGAACGGCAAACCAACUUCCAACCGUGCGGCACUUAGUCACUAGGCUAGAAUAAGUCAGCCUCUCAACUUGGUUAGCCUACAAAAUAGACUAACAAGGGCGAUGAAGGAUAAAAAAAAGUGAGAAAGUACAAAAGGAAACAAAGACAAACAAUAGAAAGAGUUUGGCAAAGGGAAAGU